UCGGGAAGCACGCUCGCCGUCCCCGCCCUGCAUGCACCUGCUGGUAGGACAGGCAUGGAGCUCUGCAUGACCCUGCUUUUGAAAUACCCUCGCACCAAGAUCCCAGAAAACUCGUUUGUUCACGAGUGGAGGGAUUGAGGACAAGAAAACUGAACUUGAAGCAGGUCAGGUCAUCCGUCGCCUGGCACCUCCCUGGAGGCGUUGGCAGGCAGAGCUGGAUGCCCAUGUGCUGGGAGCUUCUGCGGAGCUGACUGGAUGCCCAUGUGCUGGGAGCUUCUGCGGAGCUGACUGGAUGCCCAUGUGCUGGGAGCUUCUGCGGAGCUGACUGGAUGCCCAUGUGCUGGGAGCUUCUGCGGAGCUGACUGCCCAGCCCCAUCUCUUGGCUAGUAUCCACAAUGAAUCAUAACCCAGGCUCCAGGCUCCACACGCACACAGGUCACACACUGAAUACUUCAAGGAUUCGGUCCCACGAAAAGCAACAGAGGAGGCGGAGGAGUCUGGAAACUGGGAGCAAUUACUGCCUUGGGGAGUCUGGGAGAGGGGAGUGGUAUAGCAGAGCCUCCAAACUCCCCCCAGUUCCGACUCUGGCCCACAGCAGAAGCGCCCUGAGACUCCUCUCCUUGGCUUUGUGCACCCCUCCACUGCUGCGGUACACUGUUACACACUUAGCACCCCCAAACAGCGGACAUGGGUGCAGGGCCAGACCCGGGUCAGGUCAGCUGAGCUUGUUGCCUAGGGCCCCGCAGGCUGCAUGAAGGCACUGGAUAGCCUGGGGUCCCUGUGGGGCUCUAAAGAGAAGGUCCUUGUGUGCUCAUUGUUACGGCUGGUGGUUACCUGCUUUCCAGCCGAGCAUCAGUAGGCACUGCCCCUCCCCGGGUCUUCAGAACUCUUCCACCAUCCUGCUACCACAGACGGCUCUGCUUUUAAAGGGAUUGUGUGACGAGAUAAUGUCCCCUUUGUCACCUAAUAAAACACAUCCACAGAGCUCA